CAUUUGGCAUAUACUCGUAAACCAAUACGUUGCAAUCCAAGCUCGAGACAUAACUGUACAAUUUGACUAUUUUCUUGUGCCUUACACUUCCCAGGGUCCCAACCUCAGUGUUCAAUUGCUUGUCCAUACGCAGCCGAUCUUCUGAAGCUGAAUCUUUCGUUCUCUUACUCCAUAGCCUCUUUGCUGCAACAACUUCCCCACUUCUCAAUUGAAUUUUGUACACAGUCCCAGAUCCUCCUUGGCCCACUUUGUUUUUAUCAACCAUGCCUUCCAGUAUCUCUUGUGGGUCAAAACUAAUUCGAUGGAAGCUCUUCACAUUGUAUGAAAAGAAUGAUGAAUACAUGGUUUCAUCACGUCCCAUGAACCUUUCUUUACUCAGUUUACGUUUCAGAAACAAGACAGCCCCAACUAUUAUGAUAACCACUGAAACUCCGAUCACCCAAAUAGAAUAUAGUCUCUUUCUUUUAUAAGUCUGUGAGCAUAUGGGGAAACCUUGAUCUGAUGAAACAGAGACUGGAACACAAAGACCUGGGUUGCCUGAGAAACUCUCUAACAGCCCACCCUUUAUCAGAGAUAGAGGAAUUGGACCAGAAAGACGAUUGUUUGAAAAGUUGAUAGAAUUUGGCAACAACACACUGAGACUUUCGGGGACAUUUCCGGUCAACUUGUUGUUGGAGAGAUCAAGAACAUUAAGAGAUUUCAACAUAGAAAUUGAAUUGGGGAUGGAAGAAUUCAGCAUGUUGCCUUGAAGCAUUAGUAAAUUUAGCUUUGUCAGAAAGCCAAUUUGAAAAGGUACCGGCCCAGAUAGGAGAUUAUUGCUAACAUCAAUCUUCACCAGAUUGAUAGCACCAGAAAUUUCAGGAGGUAGAAGUCCUGAAAUCUUGUUGCUUUGCAAGAACAAUUCUGUCAAGUUUCUAGCAGUUCCUGUAGUAGUUGCAAUUGAACCGCUAAAGUUAUUGUAACUCAGAUCAAUGAUUGAAACAUGA
rnacentral:misc_RNA from 1 species